rnacentral:rRNA from 1 species
AUUGAACGCUGGCGGCAUGCCUUACACAUGCAAGUCGAACGGCAGCACGGGCUUCGGUCUGGUGGCGGGUGGCGAACGGGUGAGUAAUGUAUCGGAACGUACCUUUCAGUGGGGGAUAACGUAGCGAAAGUUACGCUAAUACCGCAUAUUCUGUGAGCAGGAAAGCAGGGGAUCGCAAGACCUUGCGUUGAUUGAGCGGCCGAUAUCAGAUUAGACAGUUGGUGGGGUAAAGGUCUACCAAGGCGACGAUCUGUAGCGGGUCUGAGAGGAUGAUCCGCCACACUGGAACUGAGACACGGUCCAGACUCCUACGGGAGGCAGUAGUGGGGAAUUUUGGACAAUGGGGGCAACCCUGAUCCAGCCAUGCCGCGUGAGUGAAGAAGGCCUUCGGGUUGUAAAGCUCUUUCGGCCGGGAAGAAAUCGCAUGGGCUAAUACCCUGUGUGGAUGACGGUACCGGAAUAAGAAGCACCGGCUAACUACGUGCCAGCAGCCGCCGUAAAAC